rnacentral:rRNA from 1 species
CAUGAAGCUGGAAUCGCUAGUAAUCGCAGAUCAGAAUGCUGCGGUGAAUACGUUCCCGGGUCUUGUACACACCGCCCGUCACACCAUGGGAGUUGGUAACACCCGAAGUCAGUGACCUAACCGCAAGGGAGGAGCUGCCGAAGGUGGGACCAGUAACUGGGGUGAAGUCGUAACAAGGUAAC